rnacentral:rRNA from 1 species
UCAAGUUAAACGGCCGCGGUAUUAUGACCGUGCAAAGGUAGCAUAAUCAUUUGUUCCCCAAUUAGGGACUAGUAUGAAUGGCUAAACGAGGACUCAACUGUCUCUUAUUCUCAAUCAGUGAAAUUGACCUUCCAGUGAAGAGGCUGGAAUAAAACAAUAAGACGAGAAGACCCUAUGGAGCUUUAAUUAACUAGCCUAAUUAUAAUUCCUAAAACCUAAUGGAACAAAACCAUAAACAUUAGGCUAACAAUUUUGGUUGGGGUGACCUCGGAGAACAAAAAACCCUCCGAAUGAUUAUAGCACAGACAAACAAGUCAAAGCAACCCACUAUAUCUAAUUGACCCAAAAAUACUUUGACCAACGGACCAAGUUACCCUAGGGAUAACAGCGCAAUCCUAUUUAAGAGUCCAUAUCGACAAUUAGGGUUUACGACCUCGAUGUUGGAUCAGGACAUCCCAAUGGUGCAGAAGCUAUUAAAGGUUCGUUUGUUCAA